GUGCUGGAGUCGAGCUGCAACACCAGAGCACAUGCUUGUGCAUAACUGGGAUCCCCUGCUGGCCAUGCAUGGCCCUUUUUAUACCACAAGUGACAGUC
rnacentral:snoRNA from 1 species